CCUACGGGUGGCUGCAGUAAGGAAUAUUGGUCAAUGGACGCAAGUCUGAACCAGCCAUGCCGCGUGGAGGAUGAAGGUCCUCUGGAUUGUAAACUUCUUUUAUUUGGGAAGAAACUCCCGCUUUCCAUCGGGAUUGCCGGUACCAGAUGAAUAAGCACCGGCUAACUCCGUGCCAGCAGCCGCGGUAAUACGGAGGGUGCAGGCGUUAUCCGGAUUCAAGGGGUCUAAGGGGGGCAUGUAUGUCCGUGGUGAAAUCUCCGGGCUUAACCCGGAAACUGCCAUUGAUACUAUUUGUCUUGAAUACUCUGGAGGUGAGCGGAAUAUGUCAUGUAGCGGUGAAAUGCUUAGAUAUGACAGAGAACACCCAUUGCGAAGGCAGCUCACUACGGAAAUAUUGACGCUGAGGCACGAAAGCGUGGGGAUCAAACAGGAUUAGAUACCCUGGUAGUC
rnacentral:rRNA from 1 species